CAGAGAUUAAAGGAUCUGCAGAGAAGAAUGUGAGAAACUCCCCAAAUACAGGCCAACCAUGGCCAACUACUGGAGUGACUGGGAUCUAACACAGGAAGAGAAUGAGAGGUUCAACAACAUUUGGCUACUGAACAGGUGCCAUCUUACUGGCAGGGUUACGCUCGACACAGGAAGACGUGGCGGCCCCUGGUGAAGGCUGUCGAAGGACCCCACGAAUGGAGGAGCUGUUGAAAUGGGACAUGAUUGUGUCAUCAACCUGCGACAAAGUAACAAGACCGAUCAGAGAGAAAAAUUACUAGGCCUGUCUGAAUGAUUAAAUCGCUGGUUAAGAUUAUUAUACAGACACCACAUCUCAACAUACCCUGUAGAAAUCUUUGGUGUGGGUACUAUAAGUUGCAGAUCCCUUCCAAGAGAAGUGGUAGGAGGAGUCCAAUGGUGUAUUAGCAAGAGCUGGAAGGAUCUGGGAAACUGUAGUAUUAUCUGUAGAGAAGGAAUGGAUGGAUCACCAUCAGGAAAAUGUGUGUGUGUGUGUGUGUGUGUGUGUGUGUGUGUGUGUUUACCCUCUUUUGGUCGAAUGCAGACAAAUUUGUUUGUGACAGUGACGCAUGAAGGAUCCACAUUGACUCUGAAUAUCAACCAGCUCUCAAUGCAUUCACCAUAUCUGUAAAACAAACAAUUAAAUUGGUCAAAUCAAUGUUCCUUGAUGUGCUUUAACAAUACAUAACUAAAUAAAUCACUUUA